rnacentral:piRNA from 1 species
UGAAGAGAGCAGUGUGACAUUCUGGAUGCC